GAGGGAAAGAGAUUUGGGCCCAAAUCUGGUUUUCCUGUCCGCCUGGGCCAGUAUUUGGGCCCACUUUCGUUUUGGGCUUUCGGCCCAUUUGAGUCACCUGCACCUGUCCUAGUCUAACAUGAAAUGAAUAUCUUUCUUUUGGACCUUAAGCCCAAUUUCUCCACCUGUCCUAGGAACUAACAAGUAAUAGUAAGCAAAAUGACAAGGGCUUAGGCCCAAUAAUAACAAAAUACAAUUUCGAAUAAAUAAAGGUGGGCUUUGGCCCAAUCUUUUUCAACUUCUCGAUUUG
rnacentral:lncRNA from 1 species